rnacentral:lncRNA from 1 species
CCAUGCAUUGAUUAAAACAAAUUAAAAAAAAGAAGAAGGAAAUUAACAAUAGAGAAUAUAAGAUAUUAAAAGAAAGGUACCUUGAAAUCAUGGCAAAAUGGAAUCGAUUUUCGAAUUCCCAAAACGAAAAGAAAAAGAGGGAGCGAGCCUUCUGAAAGUUUUUGACCAGCACAAAGAUUUUCAAGUGUGAGGAAAUGCAAAGAAACUAUGAGGCACAAAUCUGGAAACCCUUGGCCUCAUUCUCUAAUCAUGUGUCAAGUGUUGACUCACUUAUGCAUUGCGUGGCUUUUUUAAAAGUCUACUUCAUUUUUAAUAGUUUUAGAUUCAUCCUUAAAACUAAUAUGAUUCUCAUAUUUCUUAUUUAGUUGAUUAUAUGUUAUGUCAAAUUAUGUCGUAAAAAUUUAAGGGUUAAAAUAUACUUUAAAUUUCUAUAUAUUUUAUGCAUUUGUAAUUUAGUCUCUAUUUUGUAGAAAUUUAAUCUCUUUGCCUUUUUAUUUUAAAAAUUCAGAUUUAGUUAUUAUCAUUACUAAAAUUAAUAUAUAUAUUCACUAGAUAAUCAUGCAACAAAAAAAUAAUGUUGAAAAUAUUGAUUAAGAUUUUUUUCUUAGAAAUACCUGUUCAAACUUGCCAUGAUAAAUGAUUUUUGUUGUUGUUAUUGUGCUCAUAAGAAUAAUUGACGCCAACAUUUGAUUAAAAUAAUUAAAAAUAUUAAUUAUUUAAACUAACUAAUGACAUUAUAAAGUAGAAGAACCAAAUUAUAUAAAAAAUUAAAUUAUAUAUAUUAAAUCUCAAGAUUAAGAUAAUAUAGGAGUCAGAAUUGAUAUCUGGCCAUUUUCUUAUAUUAAAGAAAACAAAGUGAAACUCGAGAGAAAUAGAAAGGCACUCUCUAAGUUUUUAAGACAUUCAAAUUAUACAUAGCCAUAUAAUAUUUUAAUAAAAAGUUUGACAAUGUUAACUAUUUGGAUUAAUUAAUGAUAUUAUAAAAAUAUAGGGAUCAAUUUAUAUAAAAAUCAAAGUAGAAAGAUUGAAUAAAAAUUUAGACAUUAUGAAAGGUUCAAAAUUAAAAUUUAACCACUAAUUUAUAACGUAAAAGAAAGUUUGAGAAUGCCAUAAGGUGACGUGCGUCAGUGGAAGGAAAGUCAUUUGACCUUUUAUAUAUAGUUUAUAGAUUGGCUUAACAUACUGAUUGACCCUUGAACUUGACACAUUUUCUCACAUUGGUCCUUGAUCCUUUUUUAUUGGAUCUUAUUGACCCUUAUAGUUGUCAACCGAUGCACAAGGACCUCAACAAACGGGUUAGUUUAUAGCUGGCAGAAGCGACCAAUAGAACUAUGACAUGUGCUAACAAUUUUACUUUUUAAUAAUAAACUUCUCGGAUGUAAAUAUACAACCUUUUAACAAAUUUUAUAUUUUUUUUAUUUAAAUUAGUAUGGUUUCUAUUACGCUUCGCAUUAGGUAUUUAUUUAUUUUUUAAUUAAAUUAUAUAGUAAAAAUUUAAUGGUUGUAAUAUGCUCUAAAUUCUUGUACUCUUUGUAUAUUUAAAAUUUAAUCUGUAGUAUUUUAUCUUCAUAAAUUUAUUCCUUUUACUUUUCAAAUCUAAAAAUUAGAUCCAUUUGUCAAAACUGUUAAAAUUCUUCUGUUAAAUAUUUUGGUGUAACAUUUUCAAAUUAAAAAAAAAUCACUUGGUAUACAUGUAACAAAAAAAUGACAUUAUAAAAGACUUGAAUUUAAUAAAAAAUUUUAAUUGUGUUAAUAAUUUUUAAAAAUUCACAUCUCCAUUUUAAUUGGAUUAAACUAUUUAGACUAACGACAUUAUCAAAGUUGAUGUACCAAAUUAUGUCAAAAUUAAAGUAUUUAAAGUAAAUAUAUUUGUAAAUAUUGGGAACAAAGAGCAAGGAAAAUCUGGUUAUAUACCGUUCGUAUAAUCCCCAAAUGGUCUUCUUUAUGGAGACAAAAAUAAACAGCAGACAGAUGGAAAAAAUUAGAGGAAGUUACGGGUUUUUUAACGGUAUUGAUGUUAGUUCAGAGGGUACUAGAGGUGGGCUGUGUCUAGCUUGGCGUAAUGAUAUAAAUGUUCAACUUCAAAGCUAUUCAAAACGGCAUAUUGAUGUGAUUAUUGAUGAAGAAAUGUACAAGUGGAGGUUUACAGGGUUUUAUGGGUCUCCGUAUUCACAAGAAAGAAAUGAGGCAUGUAACUUAUUAUGACACUUUGGGACGAAUGGGGAUUUGCCGUGGAUGGUAUGUGGUGAUUUCAAUGAAAUCCUGUACAGUUUCGAAAAAAAGAGGGUUUACCGCGAGAAGAAUGGCGAAUGGAAGCUUUUCGUAAAACAUUGGAGGAAUGCAACUUAUCUGAUAUUGGGUUUAAUGGAAAAUGGUUUACAUGGGAACAGGGAAAUUUUGGUGAUAAUCAUAUCCAAGAGCGGUUAGAUAGAGCAGUUGCAACUGAAGAAUGGUUACGAAUUUUUCCAGAAUUCCAGAUUCAGCACCUUCCACAUACGUUUUCUGAUCAUUGUCCCCUAUUGGUUCAUUCCAAAAAGGAAAACAGAGAGCGAAUGCAAAAAGAAUUCAAGUUCGAAGCAUGGUAGGUAUUAGAGGAUUCGUUUUUUAACACAGUCAAAAAAAUCUGGGAGCAAUCUGAGGGUGAUCUAUUAUCUAAGUUAAACAGUAUGAAAAGGGGGCUGGAGCGAUGGUCAAGACAAAUUCAAAGUUCUAGAGAAAGAAGGAAAAAAUCGUUAUUUUCAAAAUUGGCCACGUUGCUUGAAGAUGAAAGAGAUGAAGUAAAUAUAACAGAUCUGAUCGAUACCAAAGUCCAAUUGAAUAUGGAGAUUGAAAAGGACGAACGGUAUUGGGGACAAAAAGCAAGGAUCAACUGGUUAAGAUUAGGGGAUAAAAACACAGCUUCCACUCAGAGGCGACAGAGAAAUUGGAUUUGUAAAAUGCAGGACGAUAAUGGGAGAGAUACGGACAAAUUACAAGAAAUGGAAAUGAUUGCCAGAAUGUAUUUCCAAAAACUUUUCACCGCAGGCAGGAAGGCAAAUUAUGAGUAUGUUCUGUCGGGAGUUCCUCAAUGUAUAUCAGAAGAAGAUAUUGCAAUGCUUAAGGAAAGAUGCACAGAGGAAGAAAUUCAGCAGUCUUUAUCAGAAUUAGGGCCCACUAAGCACCUGGUGAGGACGGUUUUCCAGCAUUAUUCUAUCAGAAAUGUUGGGCGAUUAUUGGAGAAGAAGUAGCUAUCUUUUGUCUCAAUCGUCUGAAUGAAGUAAUGGAGAUAGAUCAAAUUAAUAAAACAAACAUCGUUCUAAUCCCAAAAAUUUCAAAUCCCGCAGAUGUAUCACAUUUCAGACUCAUUAGUUUGUGUAACGUUUUAUAUAAAUUAAUGGCUAAAGUCAUUGCAAAUAGUCUUCGAAAAAUCCUGGACAAAUGCAUAAAUCCUGCACAAAGUGCUUUUGUGCCGGGGAGAUUGAUAUCGGAUAAUGUGUUACUGGCCUAUGAACUUAUCCAUACACUAAAAAAGAAGAGAGCAGGGAAGACGUGAUUUAUGGCGGUCAAACUGGACAUGAGCAAAGCAUAUGAUAGGGUAGAAUGGAGUUCUGUGGAGGAGGUAAUGAAGAAAAUGGGCUUUGACUCAGAGUGGGUGACUCUGUUGUUAAAAUGUGUAACUACAGUCUCUUAUUCAGUAGUUCUUAACGGCCACAAUGGAGAUGGAGAAUCUUUCUACCCUACGAGAGGAUUACGACAGGGGGAUCCACUGAGCCCAUUUCUAUUUUUAUUUUGUAGCGAAGGUCUUUCCAGCCUUAUGAAGUUAGGCAUGCCGGAGAAUAGAGUAAGAGGUGUUAAGGCAAGCAGAAGUGGGCCACAAGUUUCACAUUUACUUUUUGCAGACGAUUGUAUACCGUUCGGGGAAGCUACAGAGAGGGGCUCAACUUUUUUAAAACAGAUUCUGCACAUUUAUGAAGCUUGUUCAGGCCAGAAAGUUAAUUUGGUUAAAUCCACAAUUUUUUUCAGCAGUAAUUCUAAAGAAGAAGAAAGACGAAUAAUAACUCAAGUUCUUGGAGUACGAAGGACAGAAGACAUGGAAAGAUAUCUAGGGCUACCAAAUUUGGUAGGGAGAAGAAAAAAGGCAGCGUUUCAGAUUUUGAAAGAUAGGUUCAAACAACGAAUUGAUAAUUGGAGCAUCAAAUAUCAUUCGCAAGGAGGUAAGGAAAUUUUCAUUAAAGCCAUUUUACAAUCUAUACCAACCUAUGCAAUGUCUUGUUUUUUUCUUCCUAAAACCUUAUGUAUAGUGUUGGAGGGAAUUAUUGCAAAAUUUUGGUGGCAAAAAAAUAAAAGUAAAAAGGGGAUCCAUUGGUGUGCGUGGAAAGAUGUUUGCUUACCAAAAGAUUUGGGUGGUUUAGGAUUUAGAAGUUUAAACAAGUUCAAUGUUGCGCUAUUAGCCAAGCAGGGUUGGCGCCUUUUUAAUUAUCCGAAUUCUUUGUUAGCCCAAGUUUUAAAAGCUAAAUAUUUUCCUAGAACGAAUUUCUUAAAUGCUUCUUUGGGUAACUUACCUUCACUCACCUGGAGGAGUAUCUGGUCAACAAAAAAACUCUUGUUGGAUGGCUUAUGCUGGAGGGUUGGAGCAGGAGAAAGUAUAUCAAUUUGGAAUGACUGCUGGAUACCGGGAGAAACAGAAGACAAGUUACAAAAUAACAACAACAAUGAUGAAGUAAGGUUAGUGUCCGACUUAAUCAAUAAAGAAAGCAGAACAUGGAAUACAGAGUUGAUUGUCCGUACCUUUAAUACGGAUAUUACGAAGAAAAUAAUGCAGAUUCCGCUUUCAAAGUCUGAUCAAGAAGACAUCCAAGUCUGGAGAGGGGAGGCGACGGGAGUCUUUAUAGUGAGAAGCGCCUAUAAACUAUUACAGGAAUCUACUACAGAGCUAAAUGAUUAUUUACAGACCCAUACAAAUAAUUUUUUCAGGAAAUUAUGAAUUUAGAUCUGCCUACAAAAGUUAAGAUUACAGUAUGGAAAAUUGCGUGGAAUUACAUUCCAACUUUCUCCAACUUAAAACUGAGAAGAGUAAUAACUGAGGAUCGAUGCUUGAGGUGUGGACAGGAAACAGAAGAUAGUAACCACGUCUUUCAACGGUGUCCUAUAGCAAAAGAAGUAUGGGGUCAGUUGAAUUAUUCAUGGGUAUUUAAUAACAGUAACUUAGAUCUCUGGAGUUGGCUUACCUGGGUUUUCAGCGAAGGAACAACUGAACAGUGUCAAGGAUUCAGCUAUGGGCUAUGGAUACUUUGGACAAGCAGAAAUAAAUUCCUUUAUGAAGGCAAAAUCAGUACCAGUCGAGACAUAUCCAAACAAAUUAAAAGCUAUAUCCUUGAUAUGGAAGGUAUUCGAAAAAGGGAAUUCACCUUAGUAAAGAAUACAAAGACUAGUCAGAGACAACAAAGAGAAAAUAUGGCCAUCUUCUUCGAUGCGGCUUUCGACUCAUAACAUAACAGAUCGGCGUCAGGCCUUGUGGUCAAGGAGCAGGAGGGUAAAAUCGUAGCAGCAAAGUCAAUCCUUCAUGAAAAUGUGGCAUCUCCUUUCGCGGCGGAAGCAUACGUAGGAUAUCAAGCAACAAUGUUAGGGGUUCAACUGGGUUACCUUAAUGUGGACAUAUUAGGAGACUCAAAAACAGUUACAUCUAAAUGCCAAAGCGAAAAUCGUGACAGGUCAGAAAUAGGAGCAAUCAUCAGUGAUAUUCAAAGUCUAAAAGGUUUCUUUCAAAAAAUCAGAUUCUCCUUCAUACCAAGGACUGGAAAUAUGGAAGCACACAAAAUAGCAAGAGAAACACUCAAGAAAGGAGAAGAACUUUACCUGGAAGAAGAGACCUCACAAGCGUUAUAUGAGGAGCAGGAACCAACUCGUCUGGGCUUUUUGGAGCAAAGGGAAAUGAGAUAAGAUUUGUUUUGACAAAAGUGGGUAUUGAUUGAAAUGAAAGAUGAAGAGCAGUAUAGUAAAAGCAAUCAGAAAAGCAAAAGAUUUGAUGGGAUUUGCUUUUACUGUUCAGUGGUCUUAGGCAGAGGAAACGACAGAACAAUUAUUAGAGACAACUGGAUUACUUUCGGCUGGGGGUUUUUAUUUUUUUGUUGUUUUUUUUCUUCGGUAGUGGGCUAAAAUGAUUACAGCCCGUUUCUUUAUUGUUAUAUUUAGGAUUUUAUUGUUUGGGUUCAGCCCAACUUGGACGAUUUUUAUGUUUUUUUCUCUUUUUGAAUCCAGUUGAAAUUUCAAAAAAAAAAAAGUU